rnacentral:rRNA from 1 species
CACGGGGCGCAGCAGGCGCGAAACCUCCGCAAUGCACGCAAGUGCGACGGGGGAACCCCAAGUGCCACUCUUAACGGGGUGGCGUCCUCGUAGAAGCUCGCAAAACGCUUCAUGAAUAAGAGGGGAGUCGCG